rnacentral:sRNA from 1 species
GGUGGGAGGGAGCUCCUGCUAUGACAACUGCCACCCCACUGCUUGCCAGUUUGGGUUGACUGGCUUACUGGGUGUCCCUUUGUCAUUUCAUCUUGUUUUCCUCUCCUCAUGCUGUGGGCUUAGUCAAAGGCAAGACCAUUCUCACAACAGAAGGACCACCCCCAGCUCAAGAAUUAGAUAAGACCAUCCAGUGGCUCUUACCGCCCCAUGACAGAGAUGUCCGAGCAAUCAAAAUUGCAUAAACCAUCUGUUUGGGAAUUUGGCUAAUGUCAGAUUGCCAAUCCA